GUUUCUGGUUGCGGGACAUCACCGUGUUGUUGUGUUUUGUCGAGUGAAAACUGCGAUUGUAGCCGGGGCUGCUGUCCAGGAAGUAGGGCGCUGUGCGCUGGUUCUCUUGCCCAUAUAUGGAAGAGGCGGUGACAGAGCACACCUGGUGGGGGUGAGACAGAGGUAAACAGGCUGAAGGAGAAGGUGCUGCAGCAGAACCAGGGAGCCGGCGGGCCCUCAGAGGACCUGGACCUGGCCAAGGAUGAAGCUUCACGAGCUCAGGAGAGCUUAAAGAUCCUGACAGAGAAGAGCCAGGCUGAACGCAGGAGGUGGCAGGAGGAGAAGCUGUCUCUGAUUGGUCAAGCCAAAGAGGCAGAAGACAAGAGGAACCA